GAUGAACGCUGGCGGCGUGCCUAAUACAUGCAAGUCGAGCGAACGGACGAGAAGCUUGCUUCUCUGAGGUUAGCGGCGGACGGGUGGGUAACGCGUGGAUAACCUACCUCUAUUACUGGGAUAACUUCGGGAAACCAGAGAUAAUACCGGAGAAUAUUUUGAACCGCAUGGUUCAAAAGUGAAAGACGGUCUUGCUGUCACUUAUAGAUGGAUCCACACUGGAUUAGCUAGUUGGUAAGGUAACGGCUUACCAAGGCAACGAUGCAUAGCCGACCUGAGAGGAUGAUCGGCCACACUGGAACUGAGACACGGUCCAGACUCCUACGGGAGGCAGCAGUAGGGAAUCUUGCGCAAUGGGCGAAAGCCUGACGGAGCAACGCCGCGUGAGUGAUGAAGGUCUUCGGAUCGUAAAACUCUGUUAUUGGGGAAGAACAUAUGUGUAAGUAAAUGUGCACAUCUUGACGGUACCUAAUCAGAAAGCCACGGCUAACUACGUG
rnacentral:rRNA from 1 species